GACGAACCGUGCGAACGUUAUUCGGAAUCACUGGGCUUAAAGCGCGUGUAGGCGGAUGGGUGCGUCGGAACCUGAAAGCCCCCGGCUCAACCGGGGAAGUGGGGCCGAAACGACCCGUCUGGAGGGACAUAGGGGGAUCUGGAACUUCCGGUGGAGCGGUGAAAUGCGUUGAGAUCGGAAGGAACGCCCGUGGCGAAAGCGAGGCCCUGGACCCUUACUGACGCUGAGACGCGAAAGCCAGGGAGCGAACGGG
rnacentral:rRNA from 1 species